UGUGUGUGUGUGUCUGGGUGCCUAUGCGUGUGUGUGCCCAUGGGUGGGUUGAAGCAGCCCCUAGACAGGGAAAAGAGGCUGUCUUCAGGCAAUAGGCCCUAUUUAGGAGUGCAGUGUGCCCUAAAAUUCAAAAGAGGGCAGCAGAUAACUAUGCUGCUCAUGGCUACCUAUAUAGGCCUACUAGCUUCUCCAAACAUCACAUAGAGGUAAAG
rnacentral:lncRNA from 1 species